rnacentral:tRNA from 1 species
GGGAAUGUGGCUUAGUGGUAGAGUGCUUGUCUCGCAUGCAUGAAGCACUGGGUUCGAUUCCUCAGUACCA